GCCUAAUGGCUGUGUGGACUGCAGGGAUGCAGGUGGAGCGAGUCGGCCAGGACUGUUCACAUCUGUCUUGAAGGAAAGAGGGGGGAAACCUGUGAUCGGGUCUGCUCAGCGCUCUGGAUAAAACAUGAGAAGCACAGAGGCGUGAACUGCAUCCGAGCUCCAUCCAGGGAUAUUUACAAACCCCCCCUCAGGUCUGGAGAAUAAUAUCGGAGGGAUUGCCGCAAAACAGUUGGUGGGCUGCUGCUGAAAUGCUUCGUGUCAUUGGCCACUACAGAACUACAAAUUGCUUGGAGGGAACACAAAUGGAAACCAGGACUAUUUCCCGCAGUCUGGUUAUAGCCAAAGACUUUCUGUCACGCUUGGGCCACCGGGCGCAACGCUGCUCUUUCAGUCAAGUCACAAAGCAGCUCAGCCAAGCACU
ensembl:lncRNA